rnacentral:rRNA from 1 species
GACGAACGCUGGCGGCAUGCUUAACACAUGCAAGUGGAGCGACGAACCUUUUAGGGGCAAAGCCGCGAACGGGUGAGUAACACGUGGGCAAUCUGCCCAGUUGACUGGAAUAACUCUUCGAAAGGAGAGCUAAUACCGGAUGUGCCAUGUUUACAUAAGUAAACCUGGUAAAGGUAGCUUCGGCUAUCCGCAAUUGGAGGAGCCUGCGGCGCAUUAGCUAGUUGGUGGGGUAAAGGCCUACCAAGGCGACGAUGCGUAGCUGGUCUGAGAGGACGAUCAGCCACACUGGAACUGAGACACGGUCCAGACUCCUACGGGAGGCAGCAGUGGGGAAUCUUGCACAAUGGGCGACAGCCUGAUGCAGCAAUGCCGCGUGAGGGAAGACGGCCUUCGGGUUGUAACCGUACUUUCUAGUUGGGAGUGAAGGUUGGCCGGUGAAGUAGCCGCGUCACUGACCGUACCUUCUACGAAGAAGACUCCGGCUAACUACGUAGUCC